rnacentral:rRNA from 1 species
AGUGAACGCUGGCGGUAGGCCUAACACAUGCAAGUCGAACGGAAGCACAGUAAGAGCUUGCUCUUACGGGUGGCGAGUGGCGGACGGGUGAGGAAUAUAUCGGAAUCUACUUUUUCGUGGGGGAUCACGUAGGGAAACUUACGCUAAUACCGCAUACGACCUACGGGUGAAAGCAGGGGAUAUUCGGACCUUGCGCGAUUGAAUGAGCCGAUGUCGGAUUAGAUAGUUGGCGGGGUAAAGGCCCACCAAGGCGCCGAUCCGUAGCUGGUCUGAGUGGAUGAUCGGCCGCACUGGAGCUGAGACGCGGUCCAGGGUCCUGCGGUACGGAGCAGUGGGGAAUGUGAGACAAUGGGCGCAAGCCUGAUCCAGUCGUACCGAGUGGGUGAAGAAGGCCUUCGGUGUGUAAAGCCCGUUUGUUGGGAGAGAAAAGCAUCAGGUUAAUACCCCGCUUUUCUGACGGUACCCAAUGAAUAAGCACCGGCUAACUACGUG